rnacentral:rRNA from 1 species
GGUAAACGCUGACAGAAGGAGGAACACAUGCAAGUCGAUGAUGGGAGCUAGCUUGCUAGAAGAAGUCAUGGCGGACGGGUGAGUAACGUGUAAAGAACUUACCAUAUAGACUGGGAUAACAGAGGGAAACUUCUGAUAAUACUGGAUAAGUUAGUAGUAGCAUUACUAAGUAAUGAAAGGUAGCAAUACGCUAUAUGAGAGCUUUGCAUCCUAUUAGCUAGUUGGUGGGGUAAAAGCCUACCAAGGCGAUGAUAGGUAGCCGGCCUGAGAGGGUGGACAGCCACAAGGGGACUGAGAUACGGCCCUUACUCCUACGGGAGGCAGCAGUGGGGAAUAUUGGACAAUGGAGGCAACUCUGAUCCAGCAAUUCUGUGUGUGUGAAGAAGGUUUUAGGACUGUAAAACACUUUUAGUAGGGAAGAAAGAAAUGACGGUACCUACAGAAGAAGCGACGGCUAAAUACGUG